GCAACAUAAAUACCCGACACAAAACAGGGCAAGGGAACCAAUCAGAGGAGACGAGCGCAAGGAGAGUCCCCGGGCACGGCAACACCGCGCUCCGGUCAACCACCGCCCCCUCUCGGCGGUGGCAGUGGGACCUUCCGGUUGCCCCAGUGUCCGGGGGGCGGCGGGUGGCAUCGGCUGUCCUCGUCCGCCUUCCGCACCCGCGCGGCUGUCGGGGAGGAGGCCAAGGCCCGGAGCAGCUUCGACGGCGUGAAGAAGGCGUGCAAGCAGAUGGUCCGCAAGUACCAUACGGACGUGUUGCCGCCUGAUUGUGCGGAGGAGUACACCUGGCGGUUCAUCGAGGUGCAGGAGGCCUAUGAGACACUUUCGGACCCCCGCAGGCGUUGCUUCUCGCUUUCUCCACCGGGCGGCGGGUUGAUGAGGAACUGGAGGAGAGACCUGGUUGGAAAAUCCAUCAGCAAGAUCAGCUUGCUGAGUUGAAAAGGAGGAGCGUGAAUAAGGAUUCAGGAGGCAACCUAUCUUGGGGGGCUCGAGCGCGGAGACAAAGGGCUGAAUCAUAAGCUGAAUGGGGACCAUGUAAUUGCAGUUGCGGAUAUCGUCUUACAUAUCAACUCGUUCUACGGUCUGACUUAAUUGCCAAGGCUAAUCUUAUCCACGGUAUAACCAAUCUAAUAUCAAUCCUGACAUCAUUCUGGUCUUGUUGAUACAGUGUUGGUGAUGAGGGAGGAAAGUUGAGUUGAAGAAAAUAAAGAAACUAUAUCUGCUGAUCCAAAGAAUGUACAGGAUGAUUGAUGUAAUAUAAUGCUGACAACAAAUAUAAUCCAAUGAUAUCAAUUGGAUCAAAUCUGGAAGUCUUCUAUCGAAACCAAUUUCAUGCCCGAUCAAUAUGAAACAGGGUACCUUUAAUCAAUUCCAGAUAUUUUGGUAGUUUUCAAAUUACUAGUAGCUUAUUUGAUAGUUCCAGAAAUGCCACUAUUGGAGGUUAAAUACUCAGAAUAAAUUCCUGCUUUUGAGUUUUGAGAGAGAAUUUGAUAUGCAUAACUUGAAUCAUGUGAUUAAUACAUUUAGAAUCCUUCAAAACACACACAGGAUGAACUACAAUGGGACUUGCAGAAUCUGACCCUAAAUCUGUGCAUUCUCCACUUUGCUUUUGUAUCUAUGUAUGUCUCGUAAGGUUCUUUCUGAUUGUUCUUCUGAAGAAAUUUUGGUUCAUUGUACAAACAGGCAGCUUUACUUCAAGAACAUGUCAGGUGAUAUUAGUAGUUGGAUUAAAUUUGCAGUAAUAUCCAACAAACAAUUAUAUUCCUUGGAGACAUGACAUAACAAUCUAAGCACUUCAUGCUUAUACUACAAUGAGGAAGCUAUUACAAUCCGAGCAAAAAGGUGAGAUUAAAGGCUUAGCUUCACACCUUGAAUUGCAGCAGGUCUGGCCUCCCUUCUAUGGGCUGUCACCCCUGCAGCCACUGAUGAUUUGACAGCCCCUGUUGUAGGGAUUGGCCUUUGGGAAGACAUGGCAGUUGUAGUAAGGGACACCAGGCUUGUUGCAAGGCACCACAUCCCCCUUGAGAGCCUCAUAGCUGAUGUACUUCUUUUCAGUGACAGCCCACAACAGCCUCCUGCUUUCCUCCGAGCUCAUCUCCAUCUCCACCCCAUGCUCCAGCAGGCACCCCUGACCUCUUCUUCUUCCACUGCAGGGCAGCUUCACCAUCAUCCCACUUGCAGUGGCUUGCUCUGGGAGGAGGAGAAGGAGAAGAAGAAGCAAUGGCCAGAGGAUCAGGCUCUUCUUCUCCACAGUGAAACCUGAGCUGAGCUUUGCCAUCUCUUCUUCCUGGUUGUGAGAUCUCAGAGUUGUGUUCUGUGUUCUCUCUCUUUCUGUGAGUGGAAGGCUUUAAUGAGAUGUCAGCUGUUCCACCUGCUUUGGCUUUGUGGCCAGUGAAUAAAGAGCCAGCAACCAAUUUCUUCACUUCACACUGUUGUAGUGGGAGGGUGAGGGGAAUGUGUCAUGGUGGUGGGCAAAUGCAUUAGAGGAAUAGAAUCUUCAUCAUGGAUAGCAAUUCCAUAUCCAUAACUUUUUUUCAUUCCCUUUUGAAAUGUGCAUAAAAAGGUUUGACUAUAACUAUGUAAUAUAGUUCAAUUGUUUCUUUGAUUGUCCAAAAGAAGAGUUGGUAA